AGAGCUCGUCGCCUGCAGGUGCACAUACUUGCUGUGCGGUGCGUCGGGCUGGAAAGGAGUGGACCGGGGAGGACGGAGGAAGGAAGGAUUCGGCGGCCAGCCAGCGUAGGAGCAGGAGGACAAGCAAGGACGGAGCACUGAGCAAGGAAACAAUAGGCUCUUCCGGACCUCUUCCUGUCUGUUCACAUGGAGGCCGAGGUGACUGGGAGCUGCCACAGGCUGCACCAUGCUAGAAGGGAAAAGGCCACAGCGACCACCAAUGGAACCGAACUGCCAGCCUCUGCAGCCCGCGGUGAGAAACACCCAGAAUCUGAACAUCGCUCCCAUUUUCUCCCUAGAAGGAAGGAACACUCAAAAUGGUUGGUGAAACAUCUUCCUAUGGCUUAAGCAUGAGGGGCAACAGAUAUGACAAGGAGCAAAGAUGGAAGAAGGGGUAGAACCUUUGAAGCAGCUGCUCCAGAACUGUGUCUUUUUUCAGAUUCCAGAGGAGGCCGAUCAAAUCAGAUAGGAGGGAGGAGGUCAGAACCCCUGGGAAAGCUGCAAUCUUCACAGCGUACCAUUUCUAUAGAAGACUAUGGCCUUGUUUAGAAACAUGAUAUAAGAAAAUCUCACCAGUGUGGGGUUCCACCUGCCCACUUCAACCCAGCCACCUUGUUUUCAUAUUGCCUGCAUGCCAAGUAGUCUGGAUCUAUGAUGACUGGGGCAGCUGCCAUGCUAACAUUGUAUUUGUAAAAGCAGAGAGUCCGUGUUAAACAUGAAGCUGGCCAUGUGGACACAUUUUCCUUUCUCACCUGGUGUCACUUUUGAACUGAAAUCAUCAUCAGUUACCUUUUCGGCAUACCGGCUGGUAACACUUCAAGUCUUAUAUACAAUAGCCAAAUCAGAAGUUGAAACAAAUGAGAGUGGAGAGAGAAGUAAAUGAGCAAACCUUUUAACCCUUUCAGUGACCAAAAUAUCUCAUGGCUUCUUUCAUCUCUACAUUAAUAUUGGAUUGCAACUGCUCGAUAAACAUGGCUUCUUUAAUCUAACAUCUUAUUCAGUUCUCUUCACCUGCCAGUAUUGACACUUCUGUUUGUGUUACUUCUCCUUGAUGUUUUCCCCUCGUGUUGUCAUGCGCAUUUCAUCGCCAUUAUAUCGUUUUAUCCAUAAGACCACACAAUGAAUUCACACGAGGUGAGAUUUGAACUAGACAUUUCCAAGUGUACAGUCCGUACUUCUGUGAAUUGUGCUACACCAACUUUUCAAGCAGAGAUGUAAGCAAGGCCAACAACCGCACUGAAGAAGCUGCGAGGUCUCAGCACUGACAAAGGCUCAUGAAUUAAGAUGGUCCAACACAGUUCAGUCACAAGCGCAGCCCAAGAGCAAAACCCCAGCAUUUCAAGCAGUGGCAAGUCUAACAUACCUUCACUAGGAAAAGGCGAGAGAAAUAGUUGGCCCAGUUAUCACGAGCAGCCACCACAAUCCUCUUCUUUAUCCCAUCUUCUGGAAUUGAGCUGGCAUCCAUACCCACCUGGAACUUCGCUGUCAGGGAUGAAAAAGGCGAAGUGUCAUCGAAGUAGACACAAAGUGCAGGGCUCAGUCUUAAUAGCCAAAGGAGAGAAUGAAGAAGCUGGACCUCUGCUUAAGAGUCCCAUUUCUGUUAUGGGUAUUUAAGGGCAACUCUAAAAUCCCAUGAAUCAUUUAUUUAUUUAUUUAUUUAUUUACUUAUUUAUUCAUUCAUUUAUUUAUUUAUUUUCACAUUUAUCCCGCUCUUCCUCCAAGGAGCCCAGAGCGGUGGACUACAUACUUGAGAUUCUCUUUCACAACAACCCUGUGAAGUAGGUGAGGCUGAGAGAGAAGUGACUGGCCCAGAGUCACCCAGCUAGUAUCAUGGCUGAAUGGGGAUUUGAACUCGGGUCUCCCCGGUCCUAGUCCAGCACUCUGAGAGCCGCAGAACCUUUGGGGGUUGUGAUGAGUUCAUUGCUACUGAGUGAACAUAGGCAAGUGUGUUAGAUACAUACAGUCUCCACAUCCCUAACGCACUACUGUGGCACAUGUUUCCAAAGAGUUAUUCAAUUCCUGCCAGAAGCGAUAUGGCAUUGAGAUAUUUGAGGCAGGGAACAGGAUAGGAUGCUUUGAGGCUGCUUACUCAACAGGUCUUUCAUCUUGCGCCUCUCCUCUUUGGAGAUCCGAAUGCAUGAAUCUGAAUAAGUGUCUCUCAUGAUCUGGGAAGGAAGGAAGAACAUUGACUUCCAUUAGACUCAUAUACUUCAGAUGUCAAGUAGAGUCUCUGAACCUGGAAGCUCAAAGGCGGCGGCUGGUGCAUAACUCCAAACAGGCAGGGCAGCACGACACAGAAACACAAUGAGGAAAGAAAUAAAAAGGCCAUUUUGGCAGAGGCUAGUGGACCAAGAGGAAGAAAGCAUUAACAAAAGAUGAUCAAUCUUGCUCUCUCCUCUUCACCCCGCACAUCCCCACACAAAAUGUGUGUAGAUGGUUGCAUAACAGAUUCAGACAAUAAGGAUGACUGAAGUUUUACCUGGUUGCAUAACAGAUUCAAACAAUAAGGAUGACUGAAGUUUUCUUUGGGGUAAAAAACCUGUUAGGGACAAAAAAGA